GAAGUUUUUUACCUACAAGUUAGGGGGACGGCGAUGGGCACCAAGUUCGCCCCCAGCUAUGCGAACCUGUUCAUGGCUUAUUGGGAAGAACAGUACGUAUAUCAAGGACACCCAUGGGGGUCAAACUUGGUGAACUAUCGCCGUUACAUAGACGAUAUAUUUUUUAUCUGGACAGGGAAUGCUACGGACCUAAACUCCUUCAUCUCCUAUCUCAAUGCCAAUGAAUGGAACUUAACUCUGACUGCACAGAUCAACACGCAACACAUUAAUUUCUUAGAUCUAGAUAUCCACAUAACAGACAUGAA